rnacentral:rRNA from 1 species
GACGAACGCUGGCGGCGUGCUUAACACAUGCAAGUCGAACGCGCCUGUCCUCUGGGUUUCUGGGGGGUGGGUGAGUGGCGAACGGGUGAGUAACACGUGAGUAACCUGCCCCCUUCUUCGGGAUAACGGUCUGAAAGGGCUGCUAAUACCGGGUAUUCACUGGUCUCCGCAUGGGGUCUGGUGGAAAGGUUUUUUUCUGGUGGGGGAUGGGCUCGCGGCCUAUCAGCUUGUUGGUGGGGUGAGGGCCCACCAAGGCUUUGACGGGUAGCCGGCCUGAGAGGGUGACCGGUCACAUUGGGACUGAGAUACGGCCCAGACUCCUACGGGAGGCAGCAGUGGGGACUAUUGCACAAUGGGCGCAAGCCUGAUGCAGCGACGCCGCGUGAGGGAUGGGGGCCUUCGGGUUGUGAACCUCUUUCGCCCGUGGUCAAGCCGCGACGUGGGUCGUGGUGAGGGUAGUGGGUAAAGAAGCGCCGGCUAACUACGUG